AACGCGAAGAACCUUACCUGGGCUCGAAAUGCUUAUGACCAGUGGUAGAAAUAUCGCCUUCUCGCAAGAGACAUGAGUAUAGGUGCUGCAUGGCUGUCGUCAGCUCGUGCCGUGAGGUGUUGGGUUAAGUCCCGCAACGAGCGCAACCCUUAUUCUUAGUUGCCACCCGCAAGGGGGAACUCUAAGAGGACUGCUCCGGAUAACGGAGAGGAAGGUGGGGAUGACGUCAAGUCAGCAUGGCCUUUAUGUCCAGGGCUACACACGUGUUACAAUGCAUGGUACAGACCGUCGCGAACCCGUGAGGGGGAGCUAAAUCGUAAAAAACCAUGCUCAGUUCGGAUUGCAGUCUGCAACUCGACUGCAUGAAGCCGGAAUCGCUAGUAAUGGCGUAUCAGAACGACGCCGUGAAUACGUUCCCGGGCCUUGUACACACCGUAGAGAC
rnacentral:rRNA from 1 species